rnacentral:lncRNA from 1 species
UCUGGUUCAGCAGUGGUCACAGGCAAGCUGGUGUUUCAACUCCUCAUCUCCAGUGCCCAGUGAAUCUCUGGUCCUCAGUGCUAUCAAUACUCUCCGUCAUUCCAGAGAGUCACAGCUCAAUGAAUCGGUGAAGAUAGUGAAUGUCACCUAUGAGAGUAAGUGUCAUCAUUUUCACUUCAAAAUUUGAACCCAGACUGAGUCACCAAUCAUGUUUUACAGGCUUUUGUCAAAAUUCUAAUGGAUACAGCUUCCAGAAUGGAGAUGUUCAUACAACCAGUCAGCUUCCUCAAUGAGCUACGUCUACCAACCACUACAACAGUGUUUCCAGUCACAACAACCAGUGUUUCUGUUACUACUCCAAAACUCAUGUAAAUUUUGGUUUUUCUAUUUUAAGAAAAUAAAAAAAUGCAAAAAGUAAUGUUUUUAUGGCAAAUAUAUUGAUGUAAAUUAAAUAAAAGUGUUUAUAUUUACAGAUCUGGUUCAGCAGUGGUCACAGGCAAGCUGGUGUUCAACUCCUCAUCUCCAGUGCCCAGUGAAUCUCUGGUCCUCAGUGCUAUCAAUACUCUCCGUCAUUCCAGAGAGUCACAGCUCAAUGAAUCGGUGAAGAUAGUGAAUGUCACCUAUGAGAGUAAGUGUCAUCAUUUUCACUUCAAAAUUUGAACUGAGACUGAGUCACCAAUCAUGUUUUACAGGCUUUUGUCAAAAUUCUAAAAUUACCAUUUCCAUCCAAACAGAAAUCUCAGAAACCUCCUAUGCUGUGGUCUUUACAUUUAACGUGAUUAACAUCAGCAUGCCAGAGGACCCUGUGUCUAGAGGCAACACCAGCCAGAAAGUUCAGGAUACCAUCAAUAAUGCGCUGAACACUCUUCUGAAUGAACCUGGCAGUCCAACUUUACAACCCAAGACCUCCAACUUCACGUAAGAUGCAAAUUAAUUUGACAGUCUUGGCUUCAUGUGUCCUUGCAUUUUACCUUUAUUGAAGCUACGUAACGUUACAAAUACCAAAAAAAAAAGAAAAAAGAAGAAGUGGGUUAAAUUCCCUAAAUGAAACCUAUUAUUUGUCUUGUAGGAGCACUUCAAACCAGAUUAAUGGCAGGAUGGGAUACAGCUUCCAGAAUGGAGAUGUCAUACAACCAGUCAGCUUCCUCAAUGAGCUACGUCUACCAACCACUACAACAGUGUUUCCAGUCACAACAACCAGUGUUUCUGUUACUACUCCAAAACUCAUGUAAAUUUUGGUUUUCUAUUUUAAGAAAAUAAAAAAUGCAAAAGUAAUGUUUUUAUGGCAAAUAUAUUGAUGUAAAUUAAAUAAAAGUGUUUAUAUUUACAGAUCUGGUUCAGCAGUGGUCACAAGCAAGCUGGUGUUCAACUCCUCAUCUCCAGUGCCCAGUGAAUCUCUGGUCCUCAGUGCUAUCAAUACUCUCCGUCAUUCCAGAGAGUCACAGCUCAAUGAAUCGGUGAAGAUAGUGAAUGUCACCUAUGAGAGUAAGUGUCAUCAUUUUCACUUCAAAAUUUGAACCCAGACUGAGUCACCAAUCAUGUUUUACAGGCUUUUGUCAAAAUUCUAAAAUUACCAUUUCCAUCCAAACAGAAAUCUCAGAAACCUCCUAUGCUGUGGUCUUUACAUUUAACGUGAUUAACAUCAGCAUGCCAGAGGACCCUGUGUCUAGAGGCAACACCAGCCAGAAAGUACAGGAUACCAUCAAUAAUGCGGUAAACGUCAAAAAUUAACAUUUUAAUACUACUUAGAUCCAAUGCCAGUGUUCUCCAGAAACUGAUGAAUGGUUUGAUUUUCCCCCUUCAGCUGAACACUCUUCUGAAUGAACCCGGAAGUCCAACUUUACAAGCCAAGACCUCCAACUUCACGUAAGAUGCAAAUUAAUUCACAGACUUGGCUUCAUGUGUCCUUGCAUUUUAACUUUAUUGAAGCCACGUAACGUUACAAAUACCAAAAAAAAACAAAAACAAGAAGAGGGUUAAAUUUCCUAAAUGAAACCUAUUAUUCGCCUUGUAGGAGCACUUCAAACCAGAUUAAUGGCAGGAUGGGAUACAGCUUCCAGAAUGGAGAUGUCAUACAACCAGUCAGCUUCCUCAAUGAGCUACGUCUACCAACCACUACAACAGUGUUUCCAGUCACAACAACCAGUGUUUCUGUUACUACUCCAAAACUCAUGUAAAUUUUGGUUUUCUAUUUUAAGAAAAUUAAAAAAUGCAAAAGUAAUGUUUUUAUGGCAAAUAUAUUGAUGUAAAUUAAAUAAAAGUGUUUAUAUUUACAGAUCUGGUUCAGCAGUGGUCACAGGCAAGCUGGUGUUCAACUCCUCAUCUCCAGUGCCCAGUGAAUCUCUGGUCCUCAGUGCUAUCAAUACUCUCCGUCAUUCCAGAGAGUCACAGCUCAAUGAAUCGGUGAAGAUAGUGAAUGUCACCUAUGAGAGUAAGUGUCAUCAUUUUCACUUCAAAAUUUGAACCCAGACUGAGUCACCAAUCAUGUUUUACAGGCUUUUGUCAAAAUUCUAAAAUUACCAUUUCCAUCCAAACAGAAAUCUCAGAAACCUCCUAUGCUGUGGUCUUUACAUUUAACGUGAUUAACAUCAGCAUGCCAGAGGACCCUGUGUCUAGAGGCAACACCAGCCAGAAAGUACAGGAUACCAUCAAUAAUGCGGUAAACGUCAAAAAUUAACAUUUUAAUACUACUUAGAUUCAAUGCCAGUGUUCUCCAGAAACUGAUGAAUGGUUUGAUUUUCCCCUUCAGCUGAACACUCUUCUGAAUGAACCCGGAAGUCCAACUUUACAACCCAAGACCUCCAACUUCACGUAAGAUGCAAAUUAAUUUCACAGACUUGGCUUCAUGUGUCCUUGCAUUUUAACUUUAUUGAAGCCACAUAACGUUACAAAUACCAAAAAAAACAAAAACAAGAAGUGGGUUAAAUUUCCUAAAUGAAACCUAUUAUUCGCCUUGUAGGAGCACUUCAAACCAGAUUAAUGGCAGGAUGGGAUACAGCUUCCAGAAUGGAGAUGUCAUACAACCAGUCAGCUUCCUCAAUGAGCUACGUCUACCAACCACUACAACAGUGUUUCCAGUCACAACAACCAGUGUUUCUGUUACUACUCCAAAACUCAUGUAAAUUUUGGUUUUCUAUUUUAAGAAA